UACGUAGGGGGCAAGCGUUGUCCGGAUUUAUUGGGCGUAAAGAGCUCGUAGGCGGUUCGGUAAGUCGGGUGUGAAACCUCCAGGCUCAACCUGGAGACGCCACCCGAUACUGCUGUGACUAGAGUCCGGUAGGGGAGCGUGGAAUUCCUGGUGUAGCGGUGAAAUGCGCAGAUAUCAGGAGGAACACCAGUGGCGAAGGCGCCGCUCUGGGCCGUAACUGACGCUGAGAAGCGAAAGCGUGGGUAGCAAACAGG
rnacentral:rRNA from 1 species